rnacentral:rRNA from 1 species
GAUGAACGCUGGCGGCGUGCCUAAUACAUGCAAGUCGAGCGAACAGAUGAGGAGCUUGCUCCUCUGACGUUAGCGGCGGACGGGUGAGUAACACGUGGAUAACCUACCUAUAAGACUGGGAUAACUUCGGGAAACCGGAGCUAAUACCGGAUAAUAUAUUGAACCGCAUGGUUCAAUAGUGAAAGACGGUUUUGCUGUCACUUAUAGAUGGAUCCGCGCCGCAUUAGCUAGUUGGUAAGGUAACGGCUUACCAAGGCAACGAUGCGUAGCCGACCUGAGAGGGUGAUCGGCCACACUGGAACUGAGACACGGUCCAGACUCCUGCGGGAGGCAGCAGUAGGGAAUCUUCCGCAAUGGGCGAAAGCCUGACGGAGCAACGCCGCGUGAGUGAUGAAGGUCUUCGGAUCGUAAAACUCUGUUAUUAGGGAAGAACAAAUGUGUAAGUAACUAUGCACGUCUUGACGGUACCUAAUCAGAAAGCCACGGCUAACUAUGUG